rnacentral:rRNA from 1 species
UGGGGAAUAUUGCACAAUGGGCGCAAGCCUGAUGCAGCCAUGCCGCGUGUGUGAAGAAGGCCUUCGGGUUGUAAAGCACUUUCAGCGAGGAGGAAGGUGGUGAGCUUAAUACGCUCAUCAAUUGACGUUACUCGCAGAAGAAGCACCGGCUAACUCCGUGCCAGCAGCCGCGGUAAUACGGAGGGUGCAAGCGUUAAUCGGAAUUACUGGGCGUAAAGCGCACGCAGGCGGUUUGUUAAGUCAGAUGUGAAAUCCCCGGGCUCAACCUGGGAACUGCAUUUGAAACUGGCAAGCUAGAGUCUCGUAGAGGGGGGUGAGAAUUCCAGGUGUAGCGGUGAAAUGCGUAGAGAUCUGGAGGAAUACCGGUGGCGAAGGCGGCCCCCCUGGACGAAGACUGACGCUCAGGUGCGAAAGCGUGGGGCAGCAAACAGGAUUAGAUACCCUGGUAGUCCACGCUGUAAACGAUGUCGAUUUUGGAGGUUGUGCCCCUUGAGGCGUGGCUUCCGGAGCUAACGCGUUAAAUCGACCGCCU